rnacentral:rRNA from 1 species
GAUGAACGCUGGCGGCGUGCCUAAUACAUGCAAGUCGAGCGAACAGACGAGGAGCUUGCUCCUCUGACGUUAGCGGCGGACGGGUGAGUAACACGUGGAUAACCUACCUAUAAGACUGGGAUAACUUCGGGAAACCGGAGCUAAUACCGGAUAAUAUAUUGAACCGCAUGGUUCAAUAGUGAAAGACGGUUUUGCUGUCACUUAUAGAUGGAUCCGCGCCGCAUUAGCUAGUUGGUAAGGUAACGGCUUACCAAGGCAACGAUGCGUAGCCGACCUGAGAGGGUGAUCGGCCACACUGGAACGGAGACACGGUCCAGACUCCUACGGGAGGCAGCAGUAGGGAAUCUGCCGCAAUGGGCGAAAGCUUGACGGAGCAACGCCGCGUGAGUGAUGAAGGUCUUCGGAUCGUAAAACUCUGUUAUUAGGGAAGAACAAAUGUGUAAGUAACUAUGCACGUCUUGACGGUACCUAAUCAGAAAGCCACGGCUAACUACGUG